rnacentral:rRNA from 1 species
UACGGGGGGGGCAAGCGUUGUUCGGAAUUACUGGGCGUAAAGGGCUCGUAGGCGGCCAACUAAGUCAGACGUGAAAUCCCUCGGCUUAACCGGGGAACUGCGUCUGAUACUGGAUGGCUUGAGAUUGGGAGAGGGAUGCGGAAUUCCAGGUGUAGCGGUGAAAUGCGUAGAUAUCUGGAGGAACACCGGUGGCGAAGGCGGCAUCCUGGACCGAGAUUGACGCUGAGGCGCGAAAGCCAGGGGAGCAAGCGGG